rnacentral:misc_RNA from 1 species
GUUUAGAGACAAGAUCUCUAAGCCAUGGACGGUUGUCGACCAAGAUAUAUAAUCUCUUACUCUCAGGGGCGAGGAAAACGUGAAGAUGUGAAAGAUAAGACUGCAAGUCCCCGAUUUGCAAACUAGUCAAGGGAAAGACACAUUUGCCAUAAUCAAUGCUCCCCAUGAAGCCCUCUUCAAAUUCGCACCACCAAUCACAGGAUGAAUAAAAAUGGGAUCAACGAAAUUCCAUGAAAAAUUCAACUCAUCCAACAACCCAGAAGAAGAAAAACUCAGGUCUGAAAAUAAAAAUUCACCACAGGGCUUCUUCAUAACACAAAGAGAUAGAUAUAGCCGAAUGAAGAAGCGUGUCAAAAGCGAUCAGUAGCCAUAAACACCCCACAGGACCAUCGAAAAAACAAAUUUUUUUUCCACAGCAGUAUGUCAGUGAUUCGAAAAGACUAAAUGCAGCCAACCCCUUUUUUAUACAAUGAAAAUUAAUCUACAGAUACAUAUUAAUCUAUAGAAUUGGGAUUUGUGAAUUGCAUUUAAGAAGAUUGUGUGAAU